UUGAGAGUUACAUAUGCGGCUCGCAUUCCCCCGCCUAGAGAAAACAAAGAGGUGUUGGGCUUACAGUAAAUUUGGAAAGACACACCAUCAAAGUUAGCUAAUAAGGCAAGACAAUAUGUGACUUAUCUGACUAACGCCAAACAGUAACUACUGUAGAGGGCCCGAGGAGGGAAGAAGGGGACACCCACAGGCCGGCCAAACUGGAGAAGGCGAGCCAGAAGUCGUGAGUUUUGAGCGAAGGCGCCGCAGGGCGCGCUGCGCACGCCCCACCCUGCGCUCCGCCCGUUUGACCCCGCCGCCGCGCCGUAGGUCAGGCUGCACGCCGCCGGCUGCCAUGGCGAACGUGUCCGAGCGGACGCUGCAGCUGUCUGUGCUGGUGGCCUUCGCGUCUGGAGUGCUCGUGGGCUGGCAGGCGAACCGGCUGCGGAGGCGCUACCUGGACUGGAAGAAGCGGAGGCUGCAGGACAAGCUGGCGGUGACUCAGAAGAAGCUGGACUUGGCCUGAGACCCCGCGCGCGCCCGCGCGCCCACCUCGCCUUGCGCUGGCGGGGCCUCCGGCGGGGCUCCGACACGUGACCCACGGUCUCCGUACACACUCUGCAGCGCCUUGCUCUUGAUGGAGUCGUUUGUCGAAGAUGGAUACAGAACACUGGACAGAUCUAAUUUCUCCUUGCACUUUAUGAGUCAAUUUUUUUUCAAAAUAAAAAAAUUCUUAAACCUCUUUGAAUCUUUUAUCACAAGGAAAAGGAGUAUCUUGCCUGGCAAGCAGUUCACUGCAUCAAAAGAUCGGGAUUCUCAAAACUCAUCUGUUAGUGUUUUGAGCAGAUAAUCUUUUUUAAGGAAUAUAUGGCAAUUCCUUGGUACAACUGCAAAGGAGAGUUGGCCCAGGGACCAUUAGGAGUCCUUUUGCCCAACUUUGUGCAGUAAAGCAAGGGACUGUGUAAACAUAACCGAGUUAAGGAUGAUGUAUGUAAGACUUUUGCACUUAUGAGAGUGACAACAUACUCCAAUUUUUAUUGGUAAACACUUCAUUUAUGUGUUACUAUGUUAUAUACAUUAAAGGAAAACCCCUCUUGACUAGAGCUUAGUGAUAAA
rnacentral:lncRNA from 1 species